rnacentral:rRNA from 1 species
UACGUAGGGUGCAAGCGUUAAUCGGAAUUACUGGGCGUAAAGCGUGCGCAGGCGGUUGUGUAAGACAGAUGUGAAAUCCCCGGGCUCAACCUGGGAACUGCAUUUGUGAACUGCACGGCUGGAGUGCGGCAGAGGGGGAUGGAAUUCCGCGUGUAGCAGUGAAAUCGUAGAUAUGCGGAGGAACACCGAUGCGAAGGCAUCCC